GGUUUUUAUGUUGGUGAUGAUUUGUCUCUACCUUGAACUAUACUUUCUCGGUACGGAAUGUUCUACUUCUUGGUCUAAUCAACUGAACUGUCGUGGAUUAAACAGGCACCUAAACCAGAACCGCCUGUUGGGAAACUGCUGCCAAGUCCGUUGAAAAGAAAGGCAAGGAUGUGUCUCUAGAUCCAGCUGAAAAACUUCGUCAACAAAGGUCAAGACUAUGAACAAUCUUUUUAGUAUUUCGUAGCUGCACAUUUUCGAUUCUAAGAAUGAGAAGUACACCACCUGAAUUAGCUGAAAAUUGGGCCAUUUCUUUACAAUCUAGUUUUGUUGUUUCAUCUCCCAAUGAACAAGUAGUUGGUGGUGCAUAUCAUUUUCAUGUGUUUGCAUACUCAUUUGGUGAUGAUAAGACCCUUGAUAAUUUUAUUCCCAACAGUGAAGAGUGAUUUCUUGGAUAUGCUGAGCUAAUUUCUCAUAAAGCUGAGACUGUAUGAGGUUUGGCAAAUUUGUUUAUACGUGGUUUUUGUAGGUUGUCGGAGCCUUGAUUCUGAUUAGGAAAUUACGAUUUCCUUUUUACAGAAAAGUUACCAUUAAAUCGGACUGCUCAAGGCAGUUAUGAGACUGUCGAUUACUCGGUUGAAAAGACGAGAUGCUAAAGAUAUUGCUUCUUCUGUUACUGCAAUUGAUAAGGCUGAAAAGGAAGCCAAUGCAAGUAAGAAGAAGUCAGUUAUUGAAUAUACCUAAUUUUGAAUAUCCUUGAAACCUAAAUCUAGCAGAGGGUCAAAACAUCCUCUUUACCUUCCAAUUUAGGGGUAAGGUCUGCAUACACUCUACCCUCACCGAGCCCCACCUGUGGGAUAACACUGAGUAUGUUGUUGUUGCUUGAAACCUAAAUCUAAUAUGUGAUGUCAGUGUAUUUCAAUUCUUUUUUUCUUUUAUACAGGUGCAAAGAAGAAGAAGCUGCAUGUUGAUCGGGCAGACUAUGAAGCAGUUGUUAAUGCAUACGACAAUGUCUUCAUGUGAGGGAACUUAGAAAAUCAUGUAAAUAGAACACCUCCCCACAACGUUAGAUGAUCUUGGAGUUACAUGUGAAAAAAUGAGGAUCCCGCGACCUGUUUUCCCAACCUAUUCGCCUUUUCUGUGAUCAAGUAAUUGUUGGGGAAUUGUUGGGGAUCGUCAUAAAUCCGGAGAAGGAUUGGACUGCAUGAAUCUAUUGUAUAAAAUAUUAUUUAUCUAACAUUUUAAAAAAAUCUGAAUAUUAAUUUGCCUAGGUAGAGAUAAUACAUAA
rnacentral:lncRNA from 1 species